rnacentral:rRNA from 1 species
AACGAACGCUGGCGGCAGGCCUAACACAUGCAAGUCGAGCGAGGACUUCGGUUCUAGCGGCGGACGGGUGAGUAACGCGUGGGAAUGUGCCCUUCUCUACGGAAUAGCCCUGGGAAACUGGGAGUAAUACCGUAUACGCCCUUUCGGGGAAAGAUUUAUCGGAGAAGGAUCAGCCCGCGUUGGAUUAGGUAGUUGGUGGGGUAAUGGCCGACCAAGCCGACGAUCCAUAGCUGGUUUGAGAGGAUGAUCAGCCACACUGGGACUGAGACACGGCCCAGACUCGUACGGGAGGCAGCAGUGGGGAAUCUUAGACAAUGGGGGCAACCCUGAUCUAGCCAUGCCGCGUGAGUGAUGAAGGCCUUAGGGUUGUAAAGCUCUUUCAGCUGGGAAGAUAAUGACGGUACCAGCAGAAGAAGCCCCGGCUAACUCCGUG